CAAGAUUGGGAAAAAGGUGUUCGAUGC
rnacentral:sRNA from 1 species